ensembl:lncRNA
CUGUACUUUCCCUACCCACUGUGUCUGUUGUCGUGCUUUUGGGUUCCUAAUCUGUCUACUUGAAAAAGUUUGCAUGUGUGUGCGAAGUGCAAUCAGGGCAAUUAGUUCCGCUGCCUGUGUGGAAUAGUGUGGAAGUAGUGGCUGUGCGUUCAAGGUUUAUUUGCUUGAACCAUCAACAAACAAUGGUUAAAUCAGCUUCUGGAAAAGGCAUAUCUCGUAGGUCAGCUCUGGCUGCCUGUUUUAUCUGUCUUUGCUACACAAUCAUGUGGAUUACCAUCCUCUGCCAGGACAUCUUGUUGGAUAAGGAACAUGUGGAAGCAUCAUUCAUGUCAACUAAUAGGAAGAUGAAAAAAGCUAUCAUCCAUCUAAGAGAUAAAGGGAAACGGGGGGUGCCUUGUUUCUUGAGAGACGCAAGCGGUCAAUACAGGUUGGAGUUAUCAGUUGGGGUGUGAUGGAUGUCUGCAAAGGAGAAGACUCAGGAAAGUCUCAUGAUUACCAUAGAGAUUUCCACAUCAACCUCUUUAAAGUACAGCAGUUCUUGAAGGACAACUUGGUGGAUGAGACUCUAACAUUUAUAGACUGAAAUAUUUUCUCAUGUAUUAAAAAAACACCUUGUUUUCAGGGCCCGGAAUCGAUUUUACCACUCUUUCAAGACACAUGAAUGUCAGUCCUUUAACUUUUAAUUUGAAUUUGAAUUUUUCUGAAUUUAUCUCUUUUGUUUGAUAGCAUUACAGCAACUUUGUGUAUUUAAAACACAUAUUGCUGACAUGAAUGAAUCAAUAAAGAUGAAAUUAU